UUUCGCAAUGCCCGAAAGGGUGACGAAGCGACGCCGCGUGCGGGAAGAAGGCCUUCGGGUUGUAAACCGCUGUCGGGAGUUAAGAAAUGCAAGGAUGUUAAUAGCGUCUUUGUUUGACUAAGGCUCCGGAGGAAGCCACGGCUAACUCUGUGCCAGCAGCCGCGGUAAUACAGAGGCGGCAAGCGUUGUUCGGAAUUAUUGGGCGUAAAGAGCACGUAGGCGGCCUUGCAAGUCAGUUGUGAAAGCCUUCCGCUUAACGGAAGAACGGCAUCUGAUACUACAGGGCUUGAGUACGGGAGGGGAGAGUGGAACUUCUGGUGGAGCGGUGAAAUGCGUAGAUAUCAGAAGGAACGCCGGCGGCGAAAGCGACUCUCUGGUCCGAAACUGACGCUGAGUGUGCGAAAGCUAGGGGAGCAAACGGGAUUAGAUACCCCGGUAGUCCUAGCCGUAAACGAUGGGCACUAAGUAGAGGGGUUUU
rnacentral:rRNA from 1 species